UACGGAGGGUGCAAGCGUUAUCCGGAUUCACUGGGUUUAAAGGGUGCGUAGGUGGGUCUGUAAGUCCGUGGUGAAAUCUCCGAGCUUAACUUGGAAACUGCCAUGGAUACUAUAGGUCUUGAAUACUGUGGAGGUUAGCGGAAUAUGUCAUGUAGCGGUGAAAUGCUUAGAUAUGACAUAGAACAUCAAUUGCGAAGGCAGCUGGCUACACAAAUAUUGACACUGAUGCACGAAAGCGUGGGGAUCAAACAGG
rnacentral:rRNA from 1 species